GUAUUGAAAAAUAGUUUUUUUUUGUUUUUUUUGACAAGAGUGGAAAAUGAUAAAUGUCCAAUUGGUUGAAAGAGACUGUGUGUGUGUGUGUGUCAAAUGCUGGACAUAAGUGAACACAAAUAACAAAGUCACUCAUCACAUUUUCAAUGCAGUCCUCUCUGUAGUACAUACCGGUAAUAGGGGAAUUUGUUUUCUCCUGAGUCCUAGACUAUAUUUCUGUAAGAAAGACACUUGUCUGGCUCCUGUUGUUGCACACAGAGAUUGGAAUAAUGGGUAAGAAUGUGCAGAGCUGGUAGUACACUAUGGAGAAGCUCAGUUCCAAGUGAUAGAUGUGUAACAUUACAGCCACAUCUCAAGUGAUUAGAGAACAAUCCAAGACUUCACAAAUAAUUUCCAUGUUGUCACUGAGUGUCAAGCAAGUUCAGGUAGUCCCUGAGUGCCAGGUCACUUAAAUGUUGAUUAUUUUUACAACUUCAAAUGUCCAGUCUAUGAACUCUUAGAUGUGAUUGAAUCUCAUUUGGUUUUAUCAAGUCUUUCUUCUGGACUGCAAACAAUACAUGACUUAGAGUUGCAUAAAUAGUCUUGAGUGCAUAAAUAUAAAUAUAUAUAUAUAUGAAGAACAUUUCAACAAGUGAAACAAAGGUCAACCCUGACAAAGGGAAGAUCAUUAGAGAGCAAAAAAUGAAGUGGUCAGCCUAAUACUGGACAUAAAGUGAGUACAGCUCAUCAAAUAGAUCAAUACUGCACUGCUUUUAGAAACCCAAGCCAUGAAAUAUAUUCAUGGAACAUUCCAAAUGUCAUUCUAAAGGAAACUAAGGAAAUAAUUAUUAUGACAUUGUAUGUAGAUAAUAUUAAAAAUGAUGAUUGUUUAAAGAAUACAAAUUGAGAUAUGAUUGUAGUGUAACCAAAACAAAAGCUUGAAAUUAAACCAAUCACACACUGGUAAUGUACAGAAGGUCACAGAGAGAUGAAAGUUCAUGUGAUAAGACAACAAUAGAGAAUUGGAUAAAUUCAAUGAUACAAAAGGCAACAACAUAGUGUCUUUACUUUUCAUGUGUAAUAGACAAGAAAUACCACCAAAACCAGUCUAUGUGGGCAGGCUGGGCAUUCAACCUCUAUUGAAUUGGUAGGAGACAGGCAAGAUUAUUGGCAUAAGGAGUGAACUGUUUGCAAAUACUAAUACAUACCAACAAUUUGAAGCAAUAAAAAAAAAUAUUUGAAUAUGAAAUGAGUUUUUGUAUACUACUAUUGACAAAACUGUUGUCCAUUAAAAGGUUUUGUUGAAAUGGAAAUAUGUCAACUUGAGUUGCAAGGGAAAUAAGUUUUAGAAACUUGACCUCUGAACUGUGGCUCCAUUAUAAGGUUUUUAGAUGCU